rnacentral:tRNA from 1 species
CCUUCGAUAGCUCAGUUGGUAGAGCGGUGGACUGUAGCGAGAUUGGGCGCGGAUGAAAACAUCUCACCUGGCAAACAAUAGAAAUCCAUAGGUCACUGGUUCAAAUCCGGUUCGAAGGA